GGGGGUGUGGCUCAGUUGGUAGAGCGUUCGCUUAGCAGCAUCUGGUCUUCUUCUCUCCUUCUUCCAAAAAGACAAGAGAAAAGCAAAACCGCAUGCGAAAGGUCCUGGGUUCGAUUCCCAGCUCCUCCA